CCUACAAGCGGUGGAUCACUCGA
rnacentral:rRNA from 1 species